rnacentral:rRNA from 1 species
ACAGCAGCAGCCACGGUAAUACGUAGGGUGCGAGCGUUAAUCGGAAUUACUGGGCGUAAAGCGUGCGCAGGCGGUGAGUUAAGUCUGCUGUGAAAUCCCCGGGCUCAACCUGGGAAUGGCAGUGGAUACUGGCUCGCUAGAGUGUGUCAGAGGAUGGUGGAAUUCCCGGUAUAGCGGUGAAAUGCGUAGAGAUCGGGAGGAACAUCAGUGGCGAAGGCGGCCAUCUGGGACAACACUGACGCAGAGGCACGAAAGCGUGGGGAGCAAACAGGAUUAGAUACCCGAGUAGUCCCUGUCUCUUAUAA